CUCAAAGAUUAAGCCAUGCA
rnacentral:ncRNA from 3 species